rnacentral:rRNA from 1 species
UACGUAGGCAGCAAGCGUUGUUCGGAGUUACUGGGCGUAAAGGGUGCGUAGGCGGCUUCUUAAGUCUGGUGUGAAAUCUCCCCGGCUCAACUGGGAGGGUGCGCCCGGAUACUGAGGGGGCUAGAGUGUGGGAGAGGAAAGUGGAAUUCCUGGUGUAGCGGUGAAAUGCGUAGAUAUCAGGAGGAACACCGGUGGUGUAAACGGCUUCUGGACCAUAACUGACGCUGAGGCACGAAAGCGUGGGUAGCAAACAGG